CACUAAAUGGCCUGCCCUCCGAUGGAAGCCUGGCGAUGACUCUCCUUAAUUAGAUUCACUCAUCAGCCCAGCAGGUUUUUAAUGAUUAACAUUGUUCUCUGUCGCAGUUGGCAGUAGUAGCACACUGCAGGAAGGGAAUUGCAGCAGUGUGCAGUGUAAGACCCUGCCGAAUGAUAACCUCAGUCGUUUCGGGGAUAGCUUGCACUGGGGCUGACUUCACAAAAAGUAAGGAGAUGAAGAGAGAAGACACUGGGGAGAACCUGUCGUAGCGGUGGGAGACCCGUUUGUUCGAGAUGGAUUGUGAGCAACAAUUGGAAGGCAGUGUUUGCUUUCACAUUGACCAAAGGCCCAGCGUGUGAGUGACAGAGAAGUUCAAGGUUAAGCUAAUCAGAGACAGACCAAAAUAUAUGAAACAGUUUACCUUGGAAGAUAUGUUCAAAAAAAUUGCUAGAAAAAGUGCAACAGGGGAGCUAACACUUCAAAAUCCAGUGCC